rnacentral:rRNA from 1 species
GAUGAACGCUGGCGGCGUGCCUAAUACAUGCAAGUCGAGCGAACAGACGAGGAGCUUGCUCCUCUGACGUUAGCGGCGGACGGGUGAGGAACACGUGGAUAACCUACCUAUAAGACUGGGAUAACUUCGGGAAACCGGAGCUAAUACCGGAUAAUAUAUUGAACCGCAUGGUUCAAUAGUGAAAGACGGUUUUGCUGUCACUUAUAGAUGGAUCCGCGCCGCAUUAGCUAGUUGGUAAGGUAACGGCUUACCAAGGCAACGAUGCGUAGCCGACCUGAGAGGGUGAUCGGCCACACUGGAACUGAGACACGGUCCAGACGCCUACGGGAGGCAGCAGUAGGGAAUCUUCCGCAAUGGGCGAAAGCCUGACGGAGCAACGCCGCGUGAGUGAUGAAGGUCUUCGGAUCGUAAAACUCUGUUAUUAGGGAAGAACAAAUGUGUAAGUAAAUAUGCACGUCUUGACGGUACCUAAUCAGAGAGCCACGGCUAACUACGUG